AUGGCCAAGCCCAAGAAACAUACCACACACAGCCAGUCCCAAAAAUGGCACAGACAUGGCAUCCAGAAAUCCCGAUCACAAAGAUACGAGUCUCUUAAGGGGGUGGAUCCCAAGUUCCUGAGAAACAUGCACUUUGCCGAGAAGCACAACAAGAAGGGCCCGAAGAAGAUGCAAGCCAACCACGCCAAGGCCAUGAGCACACAUGCUGAGGCUGUCAAGGCCCUCGUAAAGCCCAAGGAGGUUAAGCCCAAGAUCCCAAAGGGCCCUAGCCGCAAGCUGACUCGACUUGCAUACAUGGCCCACUCCAAGCUUGGGAAGCGUAUUCGUGCCCGUAUUGCCAAAGGCCAAGGAUCAAACUGAGGCCCUGGCCGCAGCUUCACCUGCAACUCCAGCUUCAGUUCCAGCUCCUGCUCUGGCUCCCAAAGGCGCCCAGACUUCCACAAAAGCUCCAGAGUCGAGGCCCCUGUCUGCCAAUGUGAGGACAGAAGAUUUGAUUUGA